UGCCUUCCAUUGUAGCAAUACAAGGCAGACGGCUCNNNCACGCGUAGUCAACCUAACCUAUGGACGGGAAUAACCUCGGGAAACUGAGAAUAAUGCCCGAUAGAACACUAUACCUGGAAUGGUUUGUGUUCCAAAUGAUUUAUCGCCGUAGGAUGGGACUGCGGCCUAUCAGUUUGUUGGUGAGGUAAUGGCCCACCAAGACUAUUACAGGUACGGGCUCUGAGAGGAGUAGCCCGGAGAUGGGUACUGAGACACGGACCCAGGCCCUAUGGGGCGCAGCAGGCGAGAAAACUUUGCAAUGUGCGAAAGCACGACAAGGUUAAUCCGAGUGGUUUCUGCUAAAGGAACCUUUUGUUAGUCCUAGAAACACUAACGAAUAAGGGGUGGGCAAGUUCUGGUGUCAGCCGCCGCGGUAAAACCAGCACCUCAAGUGGUCAGGAUGAUUAUUGGGCCUAAAGCAUCCGUAGCCGGCUCUGUAAGUUUUCGGUUAAAUCUGUACGCUUAACGUACAGGCUGCCGGGAAUACUGCAAAGCUAGGGAGUGGGAGAGGUAGACGGUACUCGGUAGGAAGGGGUAAAAUCCUUUGAUCUAUUGAUGACCNCCUGUG
rnacentral:rRNA from 2 species